CCUGGGGGUGCUGGACACCCCACUUUCCUUUUCUAUGGACCCCUCCCUCCUGGUGACUCAUUCUCUAUUUAUUCUUGUCCAGAAGAGGUCCUUGUCCAAGGGCCCAAGACAGAGCAGCAGGCCACGGACACCAGUUAGACUUCCCCGGGAGUCCUCAAGCCUCCUUGAGAGGCAGGUGGCCUGAAUCUCCAUGGUGAUUGUGUCCUUCAUGCAGGACCCUCGGCAGCAUUGCCUAUCUCUGGGCCUUGGUUUCCCAUCUGUACCCAGAGGCUCUGUAGAAGCGCUCUGGGAUGUUCUUUCUACUGAGGAAGGUGAAGCCAGCAGCCCACCUCUGGACACUGCAGAGCUGGGGCCCCUCUUCCUAGAGACCCAAGGCUGCUCCUGCCCCCAAAUCCUCCAGCUGCUCUGGGGGCCCAGAAUGGAGCCUUCUCCAGAAGCUGAGCAGAGCAGUUGUGCUCCCUGAGCCCCUAGCCAAGGACCCAGUCCUGGGCUGGAGGUUCACCUGCCUGGAUCCCAAACAGCACCCCAGCUGAGGCUGGGGCUUCCAAACAGCAACCUUCGGUCAGCUGGAUGCACCCAGAGCUCAGAGCAGCGUCCCAGGACUGAGUCUGAGACCCUGCUGAUGUUGCAGCCAGUGGGGAGAAAAGCAGCUGGAAACUCUUGGCUGUGCCGGCAUCGCAGAAUCUAGGUACCACUGCCCCCUUGUGGUGAUCUAGGAAUUCUCUGUGACUUGUCACCCAUGUCAGGACUCAGAGCGAGUCCCUGAACCAAAGAUGGAGAAAGCAAGUCUCAAGGGAGUACUGCCAGGAAAUGGAGAAGAAAAGACCAGAUUUAGUGUCUGGGGCAAGGCGUGUACGAGAUGAGAAAGAGAACACAGUACUGGAGGUCUCCUGACGCUGAAUACCCAUCACCUGUAAAAGUAGGGUUAUCAAAAAAACAAAAUAAAUCUGAUUGAGCCCCUAGAUCUAAUUACGCAGCAAUACACAGGAAAUUCAGAGAGGGGAACAUGUCGUCUACAAUGUGGGGGUGCACUUGGCAGUGACUAUGGGAAAUCCUUUCAGACAAAUGAUCUGGUUUCAGUAAAAAAUGAAUUAUAGGAAAAAAAAAAAAAAAAAAAGAUGGAUCUGGGUGUGGAGGUGCAUGCCUACUAUCCCAGAACUUUGGGAGGCUGAAUCCAGAGGUCUGCAAGUUUAAGCCUGGCCUGGACAACUUAAUGAGAUCCUAUCUCAAAAUAAAAAAUAAAACAAGGGGCUGGGGAUGUAGCUCAGUGGUAAAGCACCGCUGAGUUUCAUCCUCAGUACCACAAAAACAGAGAGAGAGAGAGAGAGAGAGAGAGAGAGAGAGAGAGAAUGGAAGGAAAGCAAAGGUUAAAUAAGAUUUGAGGACAUGUCAAAAAACAGGCAUCUGAAACCAUACAAAAGCAAAACCAUGGAAAUAAAAUACAGACAAACCAGAGGUCAGGAUGG
rnacentral:lncRNA from 1 species